rnacentral:tRNA from 1 species
AUCCAGUGGUCUAGUGGUUUGGGUGUUGUACUACAACUCUGGAGACCAGGGUUCGAAUCCCUGCUUGGCUA